rnacentral:sRNA from 1 species
UAGUAAAUUAUUUGACGGCACAUGCCGUU